GUCGCCAGCUGGAUUUAACUCCAUUCAGCACCACUCUCCGGGCCCGGCCCUCCAGCCAGUUCCUUACCCAUCCCAGAUUGUGGCAGUCCAGUUGGAGUAGCAGGUCUCUGACUGUUUCCUCCUGAAUUGUGGGGGGUUUAGUCUGCUCCGCAGCCAAGGCUGCCAGGUCAGAGAGUGGAGAAACCUGAGGAUAACUGUUCUGAGUUUUAAAGACAGAUGUAAAGAAGGCAUUCAGAAGGUCUGCCUUUUCCUUAUCCUCAGUGGUCACGUUCCCAGCCUCAUCCAGUAGAGAAUGGAGAUUCUCCCUGGUCCUCCUCUUACUGUUGAUAUACUUGUAAAAGAGUUUCUUGUUCCCUUUCACCCCAGCAGCCAGGUUGAGUUCAAUGGUUGAGAUGGGCACCAGGGAAAAGGAGGAUGAGAUAGGUAUGUGAACUGGGGUUUCCAGUGGAGAGGAACAAGAUGAGCUGAAGAGGUGAUUCAAGAUAGCUGGCGUGGCUUUGUUAAGGGCAGAUUGUACCUGACCAAUCUGGUGGCCUUCUGUGGUGGAGUAAUGGCAUCGGUGGACAGGGGAAGGGCAACGCGUGUCAUCUAUCUGGAGUUCCGCAAAGCCUUUGACGUGGUCCCUCACCACAUCGUUCUCUCUAAACUGGGGAGGUGUGGAUUUGAAGGAUGGACUGUUCAGUGGAUUAGGAAUUGGCUGAUUGGACGCAGCCAAAGGGUUGUGAUGAAUGGUUCUGUGUCAGGGUGGAGGCUGUGUAUGGAAGUGUGACUGCUACCUUUCUUGGGUGAUGUGAAACUGAUAGAAGGCAGCUGUAUCUACUGUCUCCUAUUCUUAAAAACAGUUACUGGGAUUUUUCAUUGUUCUUGCUGACUGUUCUGUUGAACGUAAAUAAGAUGGAGGUCACUUUCUUUUUUUUUUUUUUUUUUUAUGUCAGUAGCUUCUAAAAAAAUGGUUUUUUUUUGAUUAAAAAAUACUCUAGAACUAAUUUGUCGUGUUCUGUGGAAUGCUUUUUUUUCCCUUGAUACUGUAUAUAUUGUUGCCUGUUGACCAAAAUGUGAAAAACAUGCCCACUUGGUACAGGCAAUAAGGGAGGUGAAGUACUGGAGAAGGAAUAAAUGAAAAAUCUAAUGAAUGAGAGAAUGUAAAUGCGCUACGUCCUUAAUACAUAAAUAAGGUGGUUAUGUUCCUAAGGCCUUUAGAUCUUAAGAAGUAUUGAUUUAACUUCCUGUUCAGUGUUAUGCAAAGGUCAUAUUCAUAUUUCCUUUGUCUAGAAGAUACUCUACUUUGCUUGAUAGUAUUUGAUGAAUACAGCACUUAACAUUCAUUACGUGGUGAAGAUAAGAAAGUUGAAAACAGCUCAGAGGACUGCAGAAUGAUUGCCUUAUAAUGCCCACAGCUACGUCACCGGAAUAAAAUGGGUGGUGAUGUUCAGCUAUUGCCCCUGAUCAUCAGAAAAGAAUGGUGCCAUUGGAAAUAUCUGCACCAGAAAAAACUCUUAUCAAAUUAAGGGACUACUUUGAAGAAAAAAUCAUCAACAACAAGACAAGAAUGUAUAUUAGGGAACAAAAAGCAAACAUGUUAAACUGUGUGUCAGUGGAUUUGCUAAUGUGGGUGCUCAGCUUACAGGUGAGAGAUGAUAGUACAAAAAUGGGUAGUACAAUUUUGUCUGUCUGCUUUACCUAUGGUGAUGAUGGUGUGCACGAAUGUGAGCUUUUCAGCUGCAUUUAGAAACCUGGAGGACUUCCUAUUAGGUCUGCUCUGUUAGUGCCUCCUUCUUUAGUGUGUUGGACUGUAAUGUUGGAAGUGGAUGUUGGUGGUAGAUUUUGAACCUUCCUGUCAGUGCCCCAUGACUUCUGUUGCUGUCUGCAGUCUGACAGAAUGGUGCCUGAUAUGGGAGCGUGGAUGAGGCACAGGUGUGUCACUGAAUUACUUGGUGCUGGAAAAAAAGGGCACCCACUGGCGUUCAGCAGUUCUUGCUGAACUUUUAGGGAGGCAAAAGUGUGAAUGUGAGCACAGUGUGGUGGUGAAUGGUGUGUUUCAGAGGAAAAUGAUGAGUAUAGAGCAAGACAAGGUUUUCUCUUACAAUGUAUGAUGAAGCCUAUGUAUUUGUUGCACAUGGUUAGAUUGGAAGUGAUGAUAUUAGGUGUGCUUUUGUAUAUUUUGCCAAAAUAGUUUUGACUCGUACCAGGAACCUCUUAAGUUCUACCAGAAGUACGAGUAGUAAUGCUUACAGUAAUGAGUAUGAUUUAGGGAACCGUAACAUUCUCCAAGUAGCUGAAGAAUAUAAGCAUCAAGAUAAUCUUGGUAUGGUGAUAUAACUACAGUAGUAAAAGGUACUAAUAUAGUAAUUACUAGAAAUGAUGGGGAAAACGGGCAGAAUAGCUGGGUAAAUCCUUUCUUUUGGAAGAUGCGUGGAAUUUCUUCUUGAGAAAUUAGAAUACUUGUUCUUUACACCACUUCAGACUUCUUUAAGGCUUGCUUUUUUCAUUUGAAAUAGUUUUUUUAAGUAAUCACGGAGGGGAAAAUAAAAAAAAAAAAAAGCAAAUGAUGUCAAAGUCAAGUGAAAUGCACAAUCCUUUGUGUGUCUACCAGUAUAUUCUAUUUACUUAAUCUCCAAAAAACGUAAUAAAUAAAUAAAAUCAUGUUGUAGUAUGCACAACUGGAAGAGAGAAUCAUCAGAAGAAACAUAAAGGCAAAAGAAACAUGGGCUGCUUGUUUAGUUGCUGGUGGUUUAUAGUUUUUAUAUGCUUCCAUGAGAGAGACUCGAUAGACAAAACAGAAUAGCAAAGCGUGCGUGUUAUUUAAAGGUGGGGCAAGAACAGAGUUCGUCAUGCAUGUUGUCACUGGACUUAAGAUCCAGAUAUAGAGAACAGUUAGUUCAGCAAGAGUACCUGCUAGAUUCUUUCUGUAUUCUAACUUAAGGCAGAGCAAGUAGAUGAAUGAAACAAAUGUCUUCAAUUCUUUGUAUCCUUGAGGACUUUCUGAAGCUUGCUUUCUGUCACAGCACUGACAGUGUCAUUACAGGGAGCCGAAAGUUGUUUCAUACCACAUGGACUGAGUAGACAUGAAACUGAAGCUUCACCACCGCCAGAGUAUCACCACAUGUAGAACACAUUUAAAAAUACUAGGUAAAAGGAAUGAAUAUUUUACUAGGAGUAAUCCAGCAGGCUGCUUAGGAUAGCAGGAAUUUCUGAUUUUAAGGUCGAUGUUUAGUCAGUCAGUUGAGAUUUCUUGACUUGGAUUUGUGCGUUGGGUUGGCCACAUGGUGAAUAAUAAGUAAGCUUACUGCAGGAAGGCAAUAUUGACAUGCAGGCUCAAAUGUCAAAUGUUGGUUUCUAGAUCAGUGUGAGCAUGCUCUGAGUACUUGACCUGAGACUCUGUCGUGGUGGGCAAGGGUAGGAUUUUCAGUCAGCCUCCUCUUCUGUCUUUCAAAUUGUGACCUGAAAUUUGCUGACCCUGUCAGAAGUGCCA
rnacentral:lncRNA from 1 species